AACGAACGCUGGCGGCAUGCCUAACACAUGCAAGUCGAACGAGACCUUCGGGACUAGUGGCGCACGGGUGCGUAACGCGUGGGAACAUGCCCUUAGGUUCGGAAUAACUCUCCGAAUGGGGUGCUAAUACCGGAUAAUGUCUUCGGACCAAAGAUUUAUCGACUUUGGAUGGGCCCGCGUUGGAUUAGCUAGUUGGUAGGGUAAAAGCCUACCAAGGCGACUAUCCAUAGCUGGUUUGAGAGGAUGAUCAGCCACACUGGGACUGAGACACGGCCCAGACUCCUACGGGAGGCAGCAGUGGGGAAUAUUGGACAAUGGGGGAAAGCCUGAACCAGCAAUGCCGCGUGAGUGAUGAAGGCCUUAGGGUUGUAAAGCUCUUUUACCCGGGAUGAUAAUGACAGUACCGGGAGAAUAAGCUCCGGCUAACUCCGUG
rnacentral:rRNA from 1 species